rnacentral:rRNA from 1 species
CGACCAGACUCCUACGGGAGGCAGCAGUGGGGAAUAUUGCACAAUGGGGGGAACCCUGAUGCAGCGACGCCGCGUGAGUGAAGAAGUAUUUCGGUAUGUAAAGCUCUAUCAGCAGGGAAGAAAAACCGACCAUAGGGUCGCUAGACGGUACCUGAUUAAGAAGCCCCGGCUAACUACGUGCCAGCAGCCGCGGUAAUACGUAGGGGGCAAGCGUUAUCCGGAUUUACUGGGGGUAAAGGGGGCGCAGACGGCGAUGCAGGCCAGGAGUGAAAGCCCGGGGCCCAACCCCGGGACUGCUCUUGGAACUGCGUGGCUGGAGUGCAGGAGGGGCAGGCGGAAUUCCUGGUGUAGCGGUGAAAUGCGUAGAUAUCAGGAGGAACACCGGUGGCGAAGGCGGCCUGCUGGACUGCAACUGACGUUGAGGCCCGAAAGCGUGGGGAGCAAACAGGAUUAGAUCCCCUUGUA